rnacentral:rRNA from 1 species
AUGUCUUCCCCUACCUCCUCCUUCCAGCCAACGCUUAGCGGUGGAGUCCCGGAGAAACUCUCCCUCACCAACUACGUUCUGUGGCGGACACAGAUCAUACCACAGCUGUGGGGCGCCGGCGUCUUCCACUACGUCGACGGCACGGCAACCGAGCCAGCCAAAACCCUCGUCACCAAGGAUGCAGCCGGGAAGGAAACCUCCAGGCCGAACCCUCUCCAUCCGCUCUGGGUGAGGGAGGACCAGAAGGUCCUUGGAUACCUGCUCCAAAACCUCUCCAAGGAGGUGCUCGUCACGGUGACCAUGAUCACCACGGCGCGGGAACUCUGGGUGGCGCUGGAGAGCAUGUUCUCAUCGCAGUCACUCAGCCGCGUCAACAACAUCCGCACGGCGCUGAUUAACGCGCAGAAGGGAAAUCAAUCGGUGGCCUCCUACUUCGCCGCCAUGAGGGGCCUCGCCGAUGAGCUCGCCGCGGCGGGAAAACCCAUCCAGGAUGAUGAGCUCAUGUCCUACAUCAUCCAC